rnacentral:rRNA from 1 species
CCAGACUCCUACGGGAGGCAGCAGUGGGGAAUAUUGGGCAAUGGACGCAAGUCUGACCCAGCAACGCCGCGUGAAGGAAGAAGGCUUUCGGGUUGUAAACUUCUUUUAAGGGGGAAGAGCAGAAGACGGUACCCCUUGAAUAAGCCACGGCUAACUACGUGCCAGCAGCCGCGGUAAUACGUAGGUGGCAAGCGUUGUCCGGAUUUACUGGGUGUAAAGGGCGUGCAGCCGGGCCGACAAGUCAGAUGUGAAAUCCGCGGGCUUAACCCCCGAACUGCAUUUGAAACUGUUGGUCUUGAGUAUCGGAGAGGCAGGCGGAAUUCCUGGUGUAGCGGUGAAAUGCGUAGAUAUCAGGAGGAGCACCGGCGGCGAAGGCGGCCUGCUGGACCGCGACUGACGUUGAGGCUCGAAAGCGUGGGGAGCGAACAGGAUUAGAUACCCGAGUACA